AACAUACUCCCUCCGUCUGGAAAUACUUGUCGGAGAAAUGCAUAAAAAUGGAUGUAUCUAGAAUUAAAAUACGUCUAGAUACAUCCAUUCCUCCGACAAGUAUUUCCGGACGGAGGGAGUAUUAU
rnacentral:pre_miRNA from 1 species